AAUGACAAGUGUUAUCUGUCAAGUGUCAAAAAACUUGAAAAACUUUUACAAAGUUUGAUUUUUGUUAAAUUUGUUUAUAAACACAAUGCCAAAGGCAAGAAUAAUUGCCCACGCCAGAUGGAGACCCAGCUAAAUAAUGUAGUAACAGCGCGUGGUCGUGUGAUGAGGGUUCCUUGACUUGAGUUCUGGCGCAACACAUCCUGGGCACUAAACAAGAUUGGGGAUGGGACGUCUAAAGAGGUGCAAGCCUGGAAAACGCUCUCGUCUUGCUCUACAGCACUUGCACUUGUCCCACCAUCUACCAGUGUUGGAACUCUUCCAAUAAUUUCCCACACCCAGGUGGAGAAUACUCCAGUUACUGCUACUGCUACUCUAAAAUAUCUCUCAUCUUGUUCUACAGCGCCUGCACCUGUCCUACCAUCUACCAGUGUUGGAACUCUUCGAAGUGUAUUAAUGAUUAUUAUUUUAGUAACCAUAAAAGUUUAAAACAAUACAUUUUAUUGCAUAAUUAUUUGUUAGAAAAAACGACAAGUACAAAUGAGUAGGGAGGCUGUUGAUUUUUCAUGGUUAUUUUAUAUCUUGUUGAUUGUUCCAAAAAAAAACUAAGUUUUCAAGAAUGCUGUGAUUAAAGUACCUAUAGUAUUAUAUUUAAAAUGAAAACUUAGUUUGUAAAGAGACGAAGGCUGACCACAAAAGAAGUACUUAUAGCUGUCUGUGUCUGUGUAAAGAAUUUAAAUAAAAAGAUGUGUAUAUUUAAA